rnacentral:rRNA from 1 species
CAGCAGCCACGGGAAUACGAAGGGGGCUAGCGUUGCUCGGAAUCACUGGGCGUAAAGGGUGCGUAGGCGGGUCUUUAAGUCAGGGGUGAAAUCCUGGAGCUCAACUCCAGAACUGCCUUUGAUACUGAAGAUCUUGAGUUCGGGAGAGGUGAGUGGAACUGCGAGUGUAGAGGUGAAAUUCGUAGAUAUUCGCAAGAACACCAGUGGCGAAGGCGGCUCACUGGCCCGAUACUGACGCUGAGGCACGAAAGCGUGGGGAGCAAACAGGAUUAGAGACCCCUGUAGUCCCUGUCUCUUAUAA